AUGAACGCUGGCGGCGUGCCUAAUACCUGCAAGUCGAGCGAACAGAUGAGGAGCUUGCUCCUCUGACGUUAGCGGCGGACGGGUGAGUAACACGUGGAUAACCUACCUAUAAGACUGGGAUAACUUCGGGAAACCGGAGCUAAUACCGGAUAAUAUAUUGAACCGCAUGGUUCAAUAGUGUAAGACGGUUUUGCUGUCACUUAUAGAUGGAUCCGCGCCGCAUUAGCUAGUUGGUAAGGUAACGGCUUACCAAGGCAACGAUGCGUAGCCGACCUGAGAGGGUGAUCGGCCACACUGGAACUGAGACACGGUCCAGACUCCUACGGGAGGCAGCAGUAGGGAAUCUUCCGCAAAGGGCGAAAGCCUGACGGAGCAACGCCGCGUGAGUGAUGAAGGUCUUCGGAUCGUAAAACUCUGUUAUUAGGGAAGAACAAAUGUGUAAGUAACUAUGCACGUCUUGACGGUACCUAAUCAGAAAGCCACGGCUAACUACGUG
rnacentral:rRNA from 1 species